AACGAACGCUGGCGGCAGGCUUAACACAUGCAAGUCGAGCGCCCCGCAAGGGGAGCGGCAGACGGGUGAGUAACGCGUGGGAAUCUACCCAUCUCUACGGAAUAACGCAUGGAAACGUGUGCUAAUACCGUAUACGUCCUUCGGGAGAAAGAUUUAUCGGAGAUGGAUGAGCCCGCGUUGGAUUAGCUAGUUGGUGGGGUAAAGGCCUACCAAGGCGACGAUCCAUAGCAGGGCUGAGAGGAUGAUCAGCCACACUGGGACUGAGACACGGCCCAGAAUCCUACGGGAGGCAGCAGUGGGGAAUAUUGGACAAUGGGCGCAAGCCUGAUCCAGCCAUGCCGCGUGAGUGAUGAAGGCCCUAGGGUUGUAAAGCUCUUUCACCGGUGAAGAUAAUGACGGUAACCGGAGAAGAAGCCCCGGCUAACUUCGUGCCAGCCGCCGCAGUAAUAC
rnacentral:rRNA from 1 species